GGCAUCUUUUUAUUUUUAAAAGACCUUUUUCGGAAGGUAUGCUUAAAGAGGGGCUUGCGUCACAUUAGUUAGUUGGCAGGGUAAAGGCCUACCAAGACUAUGAUGUGUAGCUGGACUGAGAGGUUGAACAGCCACAUUGGGACUGAGACACGGCCCAAACUCCUACGGGAGGCAGCAGUAGGGAAUUUUCGGCAAUGGAGGAAACUCUGACCGAGCAACGCCGCGUGAACGAUGAAGUAUUUCGGUAUGUAAAGUUCUUUUAUUGAAGAAGAAAAAAUAGUGGAAAAACUAUCUUGACGAUAUUCAAUGAAUAAGCCCCGGCAAACUAUGUGCCAGCAGCCGCGGUAAUACAUAGGGGGCGAGCGUUAUCCGGAAUUAUUGGGCGUAAAGGGUGCGUAGGCGGUUUAAUAAGUCUAUAGUUUAAUUUCAGUGCUUAACACUGUCCUGCUAUAGAAACUAUUAGACUAGAGUGAGAUAGAGGCAAGUGGAAUUCCAUGUGUAGCGGUAAAAUGCGUAAAUAUAUGGAGGAACACCAGAGGCGUAGGCGGCUUGCUGGGUCUUUACUGACGCUGAGGCACGAAAGCGUGGGGAGCAAACAGGAUUAGAUACCCUGGUAGUCCACGCCGUAAACGAUGAGUACUAAGUGUCGGGAUUACUCGGUACUGAAGUUAACACAUUAAGUACUCCGCCUGAGUAGUACGUACGCAAGUAUGAAACUUAAAGGAAUUGACGGGACUCCGCACAAGCGGUGGAUCAUGUUGUUUAAUUCGAAGAUACACGAAAAACCUUACCAGGUCUUGACAUACUCUGCAAAGCUAUAGCAAUAUAGUGGAGGUUAUCAGGGAUACAGGUGGUGCAUGGUUGUCGUCAGCUCGUGUCGUGAGAUGUUAGGUUAAGUCCUAAAACGAGCGCAACCCUUGUCAUUAGUUGCCAGCAUGUCAUGAUGGGCACUUUAAUGAGACUGCCAAUGAAAAAUUGGAGGAAGGUGAGGAUCACGUCAAAUCAUCAUGCCCCUUAUGAUCUGGGCUACAAACGUGAUACAAUGGCUGUUACAAAGAGUAGCUGAAACGCAAGUUUAUAGCCAAUCUCAUAAAAGCAGUCUCAGUUCGGAUUGAAGUCUGCAACUCGACUUCAUGAAGUUGGAAUCGCUAGUAAUCGCGAAUCAGCAUGUCGCGUAAAUUA
rnacentral:rRNA from 1 species